GGAAGCUUGGCCGAGUGGUUUAAGGCACUGGUCUUGAAAACCAGCGAUGGGCAACCAUCCGUGAGUUCGAAUCUCACAGCUUCCGCCA
rnacentral:tRNA from 1 species